UGAUGAGCCCAUCUGCCAAUCUGCCUGUUGUGAUGCAACUCCCAGGUCUGACUGAUGCAAAAAGAGCAGUCAUCAGCAUAAUGAAGUUCCUGUUUGAGUGAUUCAAGGACUAUUGAUCAUGCCUUUUGCCUACUAAAGUGAAAGUGUUUC